ACCGAAUUGGUGUAGGGGUUAACAUGCGGGAUUCUCAAACACUUGAAGAACAUUCCUGAGCCAGGAGUUCGAGUCUCCUAUUCGGUG